rnacentral:rRNA from 1 species
UCGAGGGGCAGCAUGAUUUGUAGCAAUACAGAUUGAUGGCGACCGGCGCACGGGUGAGUAACGCGUAUGCAACUUACCUAUCAGAGGGGGAUAGCCCGGCGAAAGUCGGAUUAAUACCCCAUAAAACAGGGGUCCCGCAUGGGAAUAUUUGUUAAAGAUUCAUCGCUGAUAGAUAGGCAUGCGUUCCAUUAGGCAGUUGGCGGGGUAACGGCCCACCAAACCGACGAUGGAUAGGGGUUCUGAGAGGAAGGUCCCCCACAUUGGUACUGAGACACGGACCAAACUCCUACGGGAGGCAGCAGUGAGGAAUAUUGGUCAAUGGCCGAGAGGCUGAACCAGCCAAGUCGCGUGAAGGAAGAAGGAUCUAUGGUUUGUAAACUUCUUUUAUAGGGGAAUAAAGUGGAGGACGUGUCCUUUUUUGUAUGUACCCUAUGAAUAAGCAUCGG